AGAUUGAACGCUGGCGGCAGGCCUAACACAUGCAAGUCGAGCGGCAGCACGGGUACUUGUACCUGGUGGCGAGCGGCGGACGGGUGAGUAAUGCCUAGGAAUCUGCCUGGUAGUGGGGGAUAACGCUCGGAAACGGACGCUAAUACCGCAUACGUCCUACGGGAGAAAGCAGGGGACCUUCGGGCCUUGCGCUAUCAGAUGAGCCUAGGUCGGAUUAGCUAGUUGGUGAGGUAAUGGCUCACCAAGGCGACGAUCCGUAACUGGUCUGAGAGGAUGAUCAGUCACACUGGAACUGAGACACGGUCCAGACUCCGUACGGGAGGCAGCAGUGGGAAUAGUUGGACAAGUGGGACGAAAGCCUAAAUCCAGGCCGUGCCGCGGUGGGAGAAGGAAGGUUCUUACGGAUUAGUAAAGCUACUUUAAGUGAGAGGAGGCAGUUACUAAUACGUAUCUGUUUGACGUUACGACAGAAUAGCACGCUAACUCU
rnacentral:rRNA from 1 species